rnacentral:misc_RNA from 1 species
AACACACGGGACUGUAGGA